rnacentral:rRNA from 1 species
UGAGUAACGCGUGGGUAACCUGCCUUAUACAGGGGGAUAACAGUCAGAAAUGGCUGCUAAUACCGCAUAAGCGCACAGAGCUGCAUGGCUCAGUGUGAAAAACUCCGGUGGUAUAAGAUGGACCCGCGUUGGAUUAGCUAGUUGGUGGGGUAACGGCCCACCAAGGCGACGAUCCAUAGCCGGCCUGAGAGGGUGAACGGUCACAUUGGGACUGAGACACGGCCCAGACUCCUACGGGAGGCAGCAUG